GCAAAUUGCCUCCUCUGCCCCUCCCCCUGAUAGUAAACUUAUAACAACAACUCAACUUAUAAUUUUCCCUAUUGAAAAGUCUCUGCACGAAUUUUUUUUUCAAACUUUUGGUGCACAAGUUUUUUUUUCUGUUCAAUUUUUAUUUUUGCUUCCCUCCCCCCCCCCCCAUCACUUUUCUAAUGGUCCACUCCUUAGUCCAUUACACCCUACUGUUAAUGACAAACAUGAGAUUGAUCAUAAAGUUUGCCUCCACUAUGUGUUCUUUUAUGUCUUGUUGAAGUACUUGAAUAUCUGAAUUCUUUACAGAUAUGAUAUUCAUAUAAGGUUUUACUCUAUUAUGUGUGUUUUUGUGACAGUAACUAAAUUGUUUGAUGUUGAAUAAUGUUUGUUACACAUCUUAGCAAGCCUCAUAUACAGGAUGUGCUUGUCUGUAUCAUGAUUUGUUGCAGUGUACGUUGUUUAAACAAAUUUGCCCAUGUUAAUUGGU